rnacentral:rRNA from 1 species
AUUGAACGCUGGCGGCAGGCCUAACACAUGCAAGUCGAGCGAGCGGCGGACGGGUGAGUAAUGUAUGGGGACUGCCCGAUAGAGGGGGAUAACUACUGGAAACGGUAGCUAAUACCGCAUACUAUCGGAUAACCCAUAUGGGAUUAGCUAGUAGGUGAGGUAAUGGCUCACCUAGGCGACGAUCCCUAGCUUGUCCUAGAGGAUGUUCAGCCACGCUGGGACUGAGACACGGCCCAGACUCCUACGGAGGCAGCAGUGGGGAAUUUUGGACAGUGGGGGAAACCCUGAUCCAGCCAUCCGGCGUGUAUGAAGAAGGCCCUAGGGUUGUAAAGUACUUUCAGUCGGGAGGCGUUACCGACAGAAGAAGCACCGGCUAACUCCGUGCCAGCAGCCGCGGUAAAC